rnacentral:rRNA from 1 species
AUUGAACGCUGGCGGCAGGCCUAACACAUGCAAGUCGAACGAGUGGCGGACGGGUGCGUAAUGUCUGGGAAAAUUCCUGAUGGAGGGGGAUAACUUCUGGAAACGGUAGCUAAUACCGCAUACCAUCGGAUGUUCCCAGAUGGGAUUAGCUAGUAGGUGGGGUAAAGGCUCACCUAGGCGACGAUCCCUUGCUGGUCUGAGCGGAGGACCAGCCACACUGUCACUGCGACAGGGUCCAGACUCCUACGCGAGGCAGCAGUGGGAAAUAUUGCACAAUGGGCGCAAGCCUGAUGCAGCCAUGCCGCGUGUAUGAAUAAGGCCUUCGGGUUGGAAAGUACUUUCAGCGGGGAGGCGUUACCCGCAGAAGAAGCACCGGCUAACUCCGUGCCAGCAGCCGCGGUAAUUC